GGUAGACUGAGUUCUCCAAAGGGAACAUCCAGGCAUCGAGGGCAACAGCACACCUGCAGGGGGAGAUAAAACCAGAUACCAACGUCCCUUUCAUACUGCUGGGAUUGGGAACAGAUGCUUACAAACCGUGGCUGAAUCCAGCAAAUGCACACGAGACUGUCCUCUUCAAGAUGGACAAUACAUUUCUCUGAACGUAACUGCUCUGCUGGCAAAACAUUCAAAGGUGUGAUGAUGAUGACCCAGAUAAGAAAUUGGCAUUCUACACCCCUCAGUAAGCUUUGGGUCACAUGAAAUCACACCUCCAGAGGAGUUACAGGUCCAACCCGACUUGUUCACCUGUUGGCAGUAUUAGUGCCCUAUAAGCAGCUAGAGCACUGCUCUUGUUCCAGAUGAUUGUGCCCCAAAUGCCACUCAGACAAGGGACACUGCCUGUUUGAAGAACUCCAAGAAUGCUAAAGAUUGUGAUGCACGAUGGAUACUCUGAAGUGCCAAAGAA